GAUGAACGCUGGCGGCGUGCCUAAUACAUGCAAGUCGAGCGAAUGGAUUAAGAGCUUGCUCUUAUGAAGUUAGCGGCGGACGGGUGAGUAACACGUGGGUAACCUGCCCAUAAGACUGGGAUAACUCCGGGAAACCGGGGCUAAUACCGGAUAACAUUUUGAACCGCAUGGUUCGAAAUUGAAAGGCGGCUUCGGCUGUCACUUAUGGAUGGACUCGCGUCGCAUUAGCUAGUUGGUGAGGUAACGGCUCACCAAGGCAACGAUGCGUAGCCGACCUGAGAGGGUGAUCGGCCACCCUGGGACUGAGACACGGCCCAGACUCCUACGGGAGGCAGCAGUAGGGAAUCUUCCGCAAUGGACGAAAGUCUGACGGAGCAACGCCGCGUGAGUGAUGAAGGCUUUCGGGUCGUAAAACUCUGUUGUUAGGGAAGAACAAGUGCUAGUUGAAUAAGCUGACACCUUGACGGUACCUAACCAGAAAGCCACGGCUAACUACGUGCCAGCCGCCGCGGUAA
rnacentral:rRNA from 1 species